GACCAGCCUGCCUGGGUCCGCAGCCAGAGGCAAAGCUAGUGUGGGUGACAGUGUGGUUCUGGGAUUUACGGGAGUUUUAUUUUCCAGUUCUAGGCUAUUUCUAUUUCUGCGGGGAAGGGGAAGUGAGGAGACACAUCUGUCAGUGCAGCCCAUGGGCAGUGGGCAUGAGAGAGGCUGGGAGCCGAGCAGCCUCCCCACGAUACUACAAGUGGCAGCACUCAGGACCCCCUGCCAUGGAACAGGCUCCUCUGUCCAGGCCAGCAGCAGGAGCAGCCGGGAGAAGAGACACACUCUGCGUGUGGAAUGUGCUUCCAACACGUCUGAGUGCAGAGGGACUGAAGCAUCCUCCCAGUGGGAGGGGAGGCCUGCCGAAAGGCUCCCUUUCCAAGUGACCCCACAGUGGCCAAGCUGGUAUGGGGCCUACACAGACAGGCA
rnacentral:lncRNA from 1 species